rnacentral:rRNA from 1 species
CUUGGUCAUUUAGAGGAAGUAAAAGUCGUAACAAGGUCUCCGUUGGUGAACCAGCGGAGGGAUCAUUACCGAGUACUAUAACUCAUAACCCUUUGUGAACCUUCAUACCUGUUGCUUCGGCGGCGCGCCUCCCGGGGCGUGCCCGCCGGCAUUAUCAGAAUCUCUGUUCGAACCCGACGAUACUUCUGAGUGUUCUAAGCGAACUGUUAAAACUUUCAACAACGGAUCUCUUGGCUCCAGCAUCGAUGAAGAACGCAGCGAAACGCGAUAUGUAAUGUGAAUUGCAGAAUUCAGUGAAUCAUCGAAUCUUUGAACGCACAUGGCGCCUUCCAGUAUCCUGGGAGGCAUGCCUGUCCGAGCGUCGUUUCAACCCUCGAGCCCCCGUGGCCCGGCGUUGGGGACCUGCCCAGGCAGUCCCCGAAAACCAGUGGCGGACCCGACGGGCCCUUCCUUUGCGUAGUAACAUCUGCCUCGCAUCGGGAGCCCCCGGGCUAUCCGGCCUCUAAACCCCCCUCAAGCCCGCUCCGGCGGCACCAAGGUUGACCUUGGAUCAGGUAGGAAUACCCGCUGAACUUAAGCAUAUCAAUAAGCGGAGGA